CAGCCCAAGAAAUGCAAUCUUAAAACAAAGGCCAUGGGGUAGGGGAAAAAAAGGCCAGGAGUCUUUUAAGCCCAGCAUGUAGAGACACACUCUUAAGUUAAAAUUUAACAGGCACAAUU